CCCCUAGUAACUGCGAGUGAAGCGGGAAAAGCUCAAAUUUAAAAUCUGGUGGUUUUGCCAUCCGAGUUGUAAUCUGGAGAAGCGUUUUCUGUGCUGGACCGUGUACAAGUCUCUUGGAACAGAGCGUCAUAGAGGGUGAGAAUCCCGUCCAUGACACGGACACCCAGUGCUAUGUGAUACGUUUUCAAAGAGUCGAGUUGUUUGGGAAUGCAGCUCAAAAUGGGUGGUAAGCUCCAUCUAAAGCUAAAUAUUGGCGAGAGACCGAUAGCGAACAAGUACCGUGAGGGAAAGAUGAAAAGCACUUUGGAAAGAGAGUUAAACAGUACGUGAAAUUGUUGAAAGGGAAACGCUUGAAGUUAGUCGCGUCUUACUUGACUCAGCCUUGCUUCGGCUUGGUGUAUUUCAUGUGAGACGGGUCAACAUCGAUUUUGACCGGCAGACAAGGGGAGUAAGAAUGUGGCACUCUUCGGAGUGUGUUAUAGCUUAUUCUCAUAUGUGUCGGUUGGGAUCGAGGACCGCAGCGCGCCCUUGUGGCCGGAGGUUCGCCUCACGUUACGCGCUUAGGAUGUUGGCAUAAUGGCUUUAAGCGACCCGUCUUGAAACACGGACCAAGGAGUCUAACAUGCUCGCGAGUGUUAGGGUGGAAAACCCUUGCGCAGAAUGAAAGUAAAAGUUGGGAACCUCCGCAAGGGGGCGCACCGACGCCCGGCCCAGAAGUUUACGGACGGUGCUGCGGUAGAGCGCGUAUGUUGGGACCCGAAAGAUGGUGAACUAUGCCUGAAUAGGGCGAAGCCAGGGGAAACCCUGUGUGGAGGCUCGUAGCGAUUCUGACGUGCAAAUCGAUCGUCAAAUUUGGG
rnacentral:rRNA from 1 species